ACGUAGGGGGCGAGCGUUAUUCGGAAUUAAUGGGUGUAAAGGGUAUGUAGGCGGCCCUUCAAGUCGCGUGUCAAAGUCCAGUGCUCAACGCUGGGUGUGCACGCGAUACUGACGGGCUUGAGGGCUGGAGAGGUGAGCGGAAUUCCCGGUGUAGUGGUAAAAUACGUAGAGAUCGGGAGGAACACCAGCGUCGUAGGCGGCCCACUAGACAGUUUCUGACUCUAAGAUAUGAGAGCGUGGGGAGCAAACAG
rnacentral:rRNA from 1 species